CCUACGGGAGGCAUCAGUCGAGAAUCAUUCACAAUGGGGGAAACCCUGAUGGUGCGACGCCGCGUGGGGGAAUGAAGGUCUUCGGAUUGUAAACCCCUGUCAUGUGGGAGCAAAUUAAAAAGAUAGUACCACAAGAGGAAGAGACGGCUAACUCUGUGCCAGCAGCCGCGGUAAUACAGAGGUCUCAAGCGUUGUUCGGAAUCACUGGGCGUAAAGCGUGCGUAGGCUGUUUCGUAAGUCGUGUGUGAAAGGCGCGGGCUCAACCCGCGGACGGCACAUGAUACUGCGAGACUGGAGUGAUGGAGAGGGAACCGGAAUUCUCGGUGUAGCAGUGAAAUGCGUAGAUAUCGAGAGGAACACUCGUGGCGAAGGCGGGUUCCUGGACAUUAACUGACGCUGAGGCACGAAGGCCAGGGGAGCGAAAGGGAUUAGAUACCCGGGUAGUC
rnacentral:rRNA from 1 species